GAGAGAGAGCGAGCGAGGAGAGAGCGAGCGAGCGAGAGAGAGCGAGCGAGGAGAGAGAGAGCGAGAGAGAGAGGGAGCAGGGAGAGCGAGCGAGGAGAAAGAGCGAGGAGAGUGAGAGAGGGAGAGUGAGCGAGGAGAGAGAGGGAGGGAGGGGAGAGAGAGGGAGGAGAGAGAGAGCGAGCGAGGAGAGAGCGAGCGAGGAGAGAGGAGAGAGCGAGGGAGAGGGAGAGAGAGGAAGAGAGAGAGGAGAGAGCGAGCCAACGAGGAGAGAGAGCGAGCCAACGAGGAGAGAGAGCGAGCGAGGAGAGAGCGAGCCAACGAGGAGAGAGAGAGAGCGGAGGGAGCGAGGAGAGAGCGAGCGAGGAGAGAGCGAGCGAGGAGAGAGCGAGCGAGGAGAGAGCGAGCGAGGAGAGAGCGAGCGAGGAGAGAGAGGGAGACGAGGAGAGAGAGGAAGAGAGAGAGGAGAGAGCGAGCCAACGAGGAGAGAGAGCGAGCCAACGAGGAGAGAGAGCGAGGAGAGAGCGAGCGAGGAGAGAGCGAGCGAGGAGAGAACAAGCGAGGAGAGAGCGAGCGAGGAGAGAGAGGGAGAGUGAGCGAGGGAGAGUGAGCGAGGAGAGAGGGGGAGGGGAGAGAGAGGGAGGAGAGAGAGCGAGCGAGGAGAGAGAGCGAGGAGAGAGAGAGCGAGGAGAGAGAGCGAGCGAGGAGAGAGAGCGAGCAGGGAGAGAGCGAGCAGGGAGAGAGCGAGAAAAGAGAGAGCGAGGAGAGAGAGAGCGGGGAGAGAGAGAGCGAGGAGAGAGCGAGCGAGGAGAGAGAGCGAGCAGGGAGAGAGCGAGGAGGGAGAGCGCGAGUGAGGAAAGUGGCUAAGUUGUGAUUCCCUCCCCUUCUCCUGGUUGCAGGGGCGGCAAUCCCGGGGGGGACGGGGGACACACGACCCCCCCAUCCUGGGAAAAAUAUGAUAUCACUGAAACAUAACUAUGUAAUUUAAAUAAUAUUAAUAAUACGCAAUGAAAGCAAUUGUGCUGAUUAUAGACACUUAAUAGCGCGUUUUUAAGUUUCAAAAGAUUGCGAUCCCCCCAUCCUUUGCCUCACAAUGGUUUGAUCCACUGCCAGUUCCUUAGUUGGCAAGGUAACAGAGGGGUCGUAUCUACUGUCUGAAAGGCACUCAAUGAACGUAACUGACGUGAGGUUAAUCCAGUCAAUCGCGCACACACACUAGCUGAAUAUGCAGAGCUAGCGCGCAAAUAUUAACUAUUAAGCUAGCUAGUACCUAUUCCAUUUAUGUGGCGUCGUCAAAGAUGGAAUCUUUGCUAUCGUCAAUUUAUUCCAAGAUCAGCAUGCAGAUGAUGUAAGUUAGUGCUUCAAAGUCCCUGUGAUAAGGUUAGCGAUAAACUGAAAUCCAAACUGAACAGAACUACACUCUCUUCUACCAUUGUCUUAAAUAUAUUUAAUGGUCUCGUUGCAAAAGCUAAAUUGUCGCAAGGGAACUUUUAUUUAUUUAUUUUAUUUCACCUUUAUUUAACCCGGGUAGCAAAGAUUAUAGCAAACACCACUGAAACUGAAUUGGUGCUCGCUAGCUUUGCAAAUUCAGCUAUUGUUGGAAGCCAGCCAAUAUGAAACAAACUAUUAAAAUUACAAAAGGUUGCAGCAUAUGUUGUGUAAAUGGUGAACUCAUACAGCUGUCAACUCUUGUCAUUUUAAUCCGUUUCACAUUUGCUAGCUACCUUUUAGAUUGAAGCCCAAAUAGAAUGAUUGAAGAUGAUAGAGGCCCAUCUCCUACUGUAAAUAACCUACACACUGUGUGUGUAGCCAGCCAGCCAGCCAGGUAGAAAAAUGGCAGAAAAAUAAAAGACGGACAUCAGAGUAUUUUUCAAUACACCAAAACGCAUAGUAAAAACCUAGUAGCCUAAUAUCUCAAAGACUAGUUGAUAAAAUGUUCAUAAGAAAGAAAUUAAAUUGUAAUGGAAAUGUUUCACAAUGAUGUCAUUAGGCAGAGCAGGCAACAGAUGGCACACAGACAGCAGAGUUGGGGACAGAUAUGCAGGGACAGACUGGCAGAGACAGGGAGUCUCAGGUGAAAUCAACAACAGAAUGUCACCGUGUCAUUGGAUGAAAUCAACAACAGAAUGUCACCGUGUCAUCGGAUGAAAUCAACAACAGAAUGUCACCGUGUCAUCGGAUGAAAUCAAGAACAGAAUGUCACCGUGUCAUUGGAUGAAAUCAAGAACAGAAUGUCACCGUGUCAUUGGAUGAAAUCAACAACAGAAUGUCACCGUGUCAUUGGAUGAAAUCAACAACAGAAUGUCACCGUGUCAUUGGAUGAAAUCAACAACAGAAUGUCACCGUGUCAUUGGAUGAAAUCAACAACAGAAUGUCACCGUGUCAUUGGAUGAAAUAAACAACAGAAUGUCACCGUGUCAUUGGAUGAAAUAAACAACAGAAUGUCAUCAUGUAUUUAGGUUACAAGUUGUGUGAAUAAAAGAUUCCCUGACUUUUUCACAUCCAAUCAGUUUUCCAUGUUGAUUCAAUGUCAUCACGGUUUGGGUUGCCCAGGGGUGUGUGUGUGUGUGUGUGUAUACACAGGGGUUACAUGAGGAGAGGUUUCAG
rnacentral:lncRNA from 1 species